UAAUACAGAGGCCACGAGCGUUAGGCGGAAUCACUGGGCUUAAAGCGUGUGUAGGUGGAUGGCUAAGUACCUUGUGAAAUCCCACGGCUCAACCGUGGAACUGCUUGGUAUACUGGUCGUCUUGAGGCACUCAGGGGCGAGCGGAACAGAUGGUGGAGCGGUGAAAUGCGUAGAUAUCAUCUGGAACGCCAAUGGUGAAGACAGCUCGCUGGGGGUGUACUGACACUGAGACACGAAAGCCAGGGGAGCGAACGGGAUUAGAUACCCCGGUAGUCCUGGCCCUAAACAAUGUCCACUAGGUUGUGGCACCACUGACGGUGUCAUGGCCGAAACGAAAGCGUUAAGUGGACCGCCUGGGAAGUACGGUCGCAAGGCUA
rnacentral:rRNA from 1 species